CUAAGCACCGUGCACUGGGUAGAAACCAGCAGGUCAGUGGGUACAGAGACCAGCCCCAGCCCCCCACCGUGCUCAGUCCUCGGACCAGGAAGAAUAGUGGGUGCCUGGAAGAACAUGAGCCCCACAGGAGGCUGUGCUGUGGCAGGGAUGACCUGAUUAGAGGGCGCUGGGAAAGAGCGCUCCACCACCCACAGAGAAGGACCUGGCUGCUCAGGACCUAGCCAUCAACCACAGGGAAAAUCGACACUAGCUUAAAAACCAACUCCUGUUUCUGCAGUGGACUCAGAUGGCUGGCGUGGGUUUGUGCUCAGAGCUAAUGUCCCGGGUUGGAUUUAGUCCGCGAGUUCUUCCCACGGAAACCAGGUUCUCUUGGGCUACAGUUGCGCUGAUCCACAGCAGCCAUGGCCACCUGUGCUCCACAGGGGCAGUCACCCGUCCGGUUAGCAGGUCCAGGGAAAGGAGACGUCCGGAAUCCAAUGGGACCUCCCUGAUCCGAUCCAGUCCUUCGCAUUUAACAUAAUCCAUCAGCGGAGUUGCUGUCCAUCUAAGCGGAAGUUCCACAGAGUCUGUUGGCUGCAGAAACAUCUUUGGUGUCAGAGUCCGGUCGUCCAGAUACCACGAAUGGCCACGUCUGAAAAAUCGAAAUGAGUGUCAGAUACGGAGGAGAAACAAUCUCAAAACGAAACCGCUCUCCCCAGAGAUUCCUGACUUUUAUUAGCGUUCUAGGAAUUUGUGUGUCUUGUCCUUCUAUUAAGAAUCUUAAUCUUGUUGGCUACUGA